rnacentral:rRNA from 1 species
UCGAGGAUCUUCCGCAAUGGGCGAAAGCCUGACGGAGCGACACCGCGUGCAGGAUGAAGGCCUUCGGGUUGUAAACUGCUGUCACGCACUAGGAAUCCCCUGCGGUGAAUAGCCGCAGGGUUGACUAAAGCGAGAGGAAGCACCGGCUAACUCUGUGCCAGCAGCCGCGGUAAGACAGAGGGUGCAAACGUUGUUCGGAAUCACUGGGCAUAAAGCGCACGUAGGCCGUCCACUAAGUCGAAUGUGAAAUACCCCGGCUCAACCGGGGAACUGCAUCCGAUACUGGUGGACUCGAGGAUGGUUGGGGUGAGUGGAACUCCAGGUGGAGCGGUGAAAUGCGUAGAUAUCUGGAGGAACACCGGUGGCGAAAGCGGCUCACUGGACCAUCUCUGACGCUGAGGUACGAAAGCUAGGGGAGCGAACGGGAUUAGAUACCCAUGUAGUCCCUGAGCGGGCUGGCAAGGCGCAU